AACGAACGCUGGCGGCAUGCCUAACACAUGCAAGUCGAACGAGACCUUCGGGUCUAGUGGCGCACGGGUGCGUAACGCGUGGGAACCUGCCCUUAGGUUCGGAAUAACUCCCCGAAAGGGGUGCUAAUACCGGAUAAUGUCUUCGGACCAAAGAUUUAUCGCCUUUGGAUGGGCCCGCGUUGGAUUAGCUAGUUGGGAGGGUAAAAGCCUACCAAGGCGACGAUGCAUAGCUGGUCUGAGAGGAUGAUCAGCCACACUGGGACUGAGACACGGCCCAGACUCCUACGGGAGGCAGCAGUAGAGAAUAUUGUACAAGGGGCGCAGGCCUGAUCCAGCAAUGCCGCGUAAGUGAUGAAGGCCUUAGGGUUGUAAAGCUCUUUUACCCGGGAUGAUAAUGACAGUACCGGGAGAAUAAGCUCCGGCUAACUCCGUG
rnacentral:rRNA from 1 species